CCUACGAGGGGCAGCAGUGAGGAAUAUUGGUCAAUGGGCGCGAGCCUGAACCAGCAAAGUAGCGUGAAGGAUGACUGCCCUACGGGUUGUAAACUUCUUUUAUAAAGGACUAAAGUGAGGCACGUGUGCCUUUUUGUAUGUAAUUUAUGAAUAAGGAUCGGCUAACUCCGUGCCAGCAGCCGCGGUAAUACGGAGGAUCCGAGCGUUAUCCGUAGUUAGUGGGGUUAAAGGGAGCGUAGAUGGGUUGUUAAGUCAGUUGUGAAAGUUUGCGGCUAAACCGUAAAAUUGCAAUUGAUACUGGCAGCCUUGAGUACAGUUGAGGUAGGCGGAAUUCGUGGUGUAGCGGUGAAAUGCUUAGAUAUCACGAAGAACUCCGAUUGCGAAGGCAGCCUACUAAACUGCCACUGACAUUGAUGCUCGAAAGUGUGGGUAUCAAACAGGAUUAGAUACCCUAGUAGUC
rnacentral:rRNA from 1 species